rnacentral:rRNA from 1 species
AGUGAACGCGGGCGGUAGGCCUAACACAUGCAAGUCGAACGGCAGCACAGGAGAGCUUGCUCUCUGGGUGGCGAGUGGCGGACGGGUGAGGAAUACAUCGGAAUCUACUCUGUCGUGGGGGAUAACGUAGGGAAACUUACGCUAAUACCGCAUACGACCUACGGGUGAAAGCAGGGGACCUUCGGGCCUUGCGCGAUUGAAUGAGCCGAUGUCGGAUUAGCUAGUUGGCGGGGUAAAGGCCCACCAAGGCGACGAUCCGUAGCUGGUCUGAGAGGAUGAUCAGCCACACUGGAACUGAGACACGGUCCAGACUCCUACGGGAGGCAGCAGUGGGGAAUAUUGGACAAUGGGCGCAAGCCUGAUCCAGCCAUACCGCGUGGGUGAAGAAGGCCUUCGGGUUGUAAAGCCCUUUUGUUGGGAAAGAAAUCCAGCUGCUAAUACCCGGUUGGGAUGGCGGUACCCAAAGAAUAAGCACCGGCUAACUUCGUGCCAGCCGCCGCAGUAA